UACGUAGGGGGCAAGCGUUGUCCGGAUUUAUUGGGCGUAAAGAGCGUGUAGGCGGCCAGGCAAGUCUGCUGUGAAAACUCGAGGCUCAACCUCGAGCUGUCGGUGGAAACUGUCUGGCUAGAGUCCGGAAGAGGAGAGUGGAAUUCCUGGUGUAGCGGUGAAAUGCGCAGAUAUCAGGAAGAACACCUAUGGCGAAGGCAGCUCUCUGGGACGGUACUGACGCUGAGACGCGAAAGCGUGGGGAGCGAACAGG
rnacentral:rRNA from 1 species